rnacentral:tRNA from 1 species
GCGGGUGUAGUUCAAUGGCAGAACACCAGCCUUCCAAGCUGGAUACGUGGGUUCGAUUCCCAUCACCCGCUCCA